AGUGGGGAGGCAACCUGUCUGG
rnacentral:miRNA from 1 species